UUUUAUUUCUCAUUACCCUACUCUGGUUUGAUUGGCAAAAAAUUAAGUUAAUUUUCUUUAAGUCAAGUCUGUUUUGCCCAUGACGGUAAUUGAUGCCACCCGUUGGGAACCAGCAGAUGAGCUGCUUUGACAUUCAUGGAUGGGGAGCACUGGAAGUGCAUGAGGAUCUCAUGGAUCACCUCAGGCUCACCUGCUGCCUUUUGGUAAUCAGAGUCCAAAGAAGCAAAACGAUUCAUCUCCUGUGUUCUGACCAUCAAUUACUUGCAGAGAGAUGCUUUACUCUCCUACAAAGAUGCUUCGGUUUGAAGAAAAAAAGAAAUCAAGAGGGGAGAUACCUAUUCCACCAGAGGUGCCAAUGCGAACAAUGGUUAUGUUGGAACACUUGGCAUGAUACAACAGUUUGAUCAGCUCGUGCAACAUGAUUGAAAUAGAAGGAAUGCCCAUACCAUGCUGAAAUGAAAGCAGAAAUUCAUAUUCAACAUUCACAUAGACAAUGCAAAAUAUAUACAGAAGAACAUGCUGGACAAUAUCUCCUUCCUGAUUUUUUUUUUCCAAUUGUCACCUAACUCACUCCCACAAAAAUCCUAACCUAUGGGCCUACUGAAAGGCUACUGCAGGUAAACAGAAAGAUUCCCACUGGCUUUGGCAGACUAUGGAUGAAGUACAAUAUUUCUAAAAAUCAUGAAUUAUAAAAUAUUUACAUUCUCAAGAGUAUAUAGUCCUUUCCUAAUAGUUGACAAAUACAGAAUCUUCAUCACAGAACUUUUCUUAAACACAAGAAAAACCCCAUGCUGAUUUUUUACCAACCUGAAGUGCUAGUGAAUAGUUAAGCUAAAUUUUUUCAAAACACGGACAUUGUGGUUUAGUCACAAAGUUCAGCAGAUACAAGUCCACCUUAAUUUGCAUGAUAAUGUGAUAAUUACAACUUAAAAGAAAGGGUGCAGAAUGAUACUACAGUUAUGCAAUUGCAACUGAAGUAUGUAAUCGUAUCUACAAAUUAAAGCCAGGAGGAGAAAAGUCUACAGCAUGAGACUGGUAACAAGAAUACAGAGGACCUGAAAUAGGAGAGAAAAGAGGCAAAUGGAAAUCUGA